GGAGCUGAUAUCAGGCACGCCCAAGACAUCUAGUCAUGCCACGCCCACAAGGGCCUUCAGCAGUGAUCAACAUUAAAAAUAAACGUCAGUUUGAUUUAGCCAAUAAAUAUAGAGCCGGCCAAUCUGGUGCCAGCCGCCGCGGUUACACCACGUGGCUCAAAUUGAUUCGGCGUAAAGCGUGAUUAAAGUGAGGUUAAACUUAGACUAAGCCGUAACACGCUUGUUUUAAAGAAAGCCAUACCUUAAGGUACCCCAACGCACCAACUUGAACUCACUACAGCUAGAAAACAAACUGGGAUUAGAUACCCCACUAUGCCUAGUCGUAAACCUUAACUUACAUCGCCCGGGAACUACGAGCAAAGCUUAAAACCCAAAGGACUUGACGGUACCCCACAUCCUCCUAGAGGAGCCUGUCCUAUAACCGAUACCCCCCGUUAAACCUCACCAUUUUUAGCAGCCUGUAUACUUCCGUCGCCAGCUUACCGCAUGAGCGAGUAAGCUUAAUGCCAAAACGUCAGGUCAAAGUGCAGCAAAUAAAAUGGGAAGAGAUGGGCUACACUCUCUACUCUAGAAGACACAAAAGCUGCGUGAAAUACAAGGCGGAUUUAGAAGUAAGAAGAAAGUAGAAUAUUCCUCUUAACUCGGCACUGGGGUGUGUACAUACCGCCCGUCACCCUCUC
rnacentral:rRNA from 1 species